AAUCUCUGGAGAGUCUCAUAUAUGAGCGCCGAAGGUGUACGGCUGCGCUGCGCAGUUAAUCUCUCAGGCAAAAGGACAGAGCUU
rnacentral:ncRNA from 1 species